CCCCUACCCCAACAAAGCACGCAAAAUCAGAUUAUAUAUUUAUCAGAACAAACCAUUAAUGUAAAACACUUUCUCUUCACUUAACAUCUCGAAAUGAAGUUGGUCACUUUGUUGUUCCUUUCUAUAAUGUUCUUUUCACUACUCGUUCCCACCAUGGCUGGGGCGUUAUCUCAGUUCAAUUCAGCUCGGAAGCUGAUGAGAGUAUCCCUGAGUCCACCCCCUCCUCCUCUUUCGGCUAGACAUGUCGUUUUUAUGACGUUUAUUAUAGCUACUGUUAUGGUUCCUCAAUGUCGUGUUAUUCAAACGACAUGCGAAUGAAUCGUAGUUUAGCAGAGGUGUGGUGUGGCCGCAAUUUCAAUGGAAUUUUCAAUACAAUCCAUUGUCGUAGAUGAAAUGAAAUGAUUGGGCUAACAAAGAUUUCGGAUGAGAAAAAUCUCUACAAGUUGGCAGAGCCCGACUUCUCGACAAAACAAGGAUUUGGGGAAAUAUGACCAAAAGUGCUCAAAGCAGCCAUGUAUGUAAAGCCAUGUUGUAAUUGUUACUCUUAUAUAAUCUGUACAUAAUGCAUUUCUUUCUUCUUUUUAUAAUUCUCUAUGGCUAUUUUCACAAACACUACUACUAUGCUCUUUUAGAGUUAGUUUGCUUCUUUAUACUUUUUAAGUAUAAAAAGAGAAGAGUUUUUUUUUUCUGUAUCAAUUUUUUUAGUGGGAACGACACUAAAGAGGUUCUUCCCUAAAGAAACAGAAAUAUUAUUUGCUUAAACAA